rnacentral:miRNA from 1 species
GCUCUGCUCGCACCAUUGUGG